rnacentral:rRNA from 1 species
GUGGGGAAUCUUAGACAAUGGGGGCAACCCUGAUCUAGCCAUGCCGCGUGAGUGAUGAAGGCCUUAGGGUCGUAAAGCUCUUUCGCUGGGGAAGAUAAUGACGGUACCCAGUAAAGAAACCCCGGCUAACUCCGUGCCAGCAGCCGCGGUAAUACGGAGGGGGUUAGCGCCGUUCGGAAUUACUGGGCGUAAAGCGCGCGUAGGCGGAUUGGAAAGUUGGGGGUGAAAUCCCGGGGCUCAACCCUGGAAUUGCCUUCAACACUCCCAGUCUUGAGGUCGAGAGAGGUGAGUGGAAUUCCGAGUGUAGAGGUGAAAUUCGUAGAUAUUCGGAGGAACACCAGUGGCGAAGGCGGCUCACUGGCUCGAUACUGACGCUGAGGUGCGAAAGCGUGGGGAGCAAACAGGAUUAGAUACCCUAGUAGUCC